UAGAGGUGGUUAGAUACAGGACACUAGCAUAGAGGUGGUUAGAUACAGGACACUAGCAUAGAGUUGGUUAGAUACAGGACACUACCAUAGAGGUGGUUAGAUACAGGACACUAGCAUAGAGGUGGUUAGAUACAGGACACUAGCAUAGAGGUGAUUAGAUACAGGACACUAGCAUAGAGGUGGUUAGAUACAGGACACUAGCAUAGAGGUGGUUAGAUACAGGACACUAGCAUAGAGGUGGUUAGAUACAGGACACUAGCAUAGAGGUGGUUAGAUACAGGACACUAGCAUAGAGGUUGUUAGAUACAGGACACUAGCAUAGAGGUGGUUAGAUACAGGACACUACCAUAGAGGUGGUUAGAUACAGGACACUAGCAUAGAGGUGGUUAGAUACAGGACACUAGCAUAGAGGUGGUUAGAUACAGGACACUAGCAUAGAGGUGGUUAGAUACAGGACACUAGCAUAGAGGUGGUUAGAUACAGGACACUAGCAUAGAGGUGGUUAGAUACAGGACACUAGCAUAGAGGUGGUUAGAUACAGGACACUAGCAUAGAGGUGGUUAGAUACAGGACACUAGCAUAGAGGUGGUUAGAUACAGGACACUAGCAUAGAGGUGGUUAGAUACAGGACACUAGCAUAGAGGUGGUUAGAUACAGGACACUAGCAUAGAGGUGGUUAGAUACAGGACACUAGCAUAGAGGUGGUUAGAUACAGGACACUAGCAUAGAGGUUGUUAGAUACAGGACACUACCAUAGAGGUGGUUAGAUAAGGACUUUCGGGUGGUUGGAGUGCAG